GACGUAGGGGGCGAGCGUUGUCCGGAGUUACUGGGCGUAAAGCGCGCGUAGGCGGGUUGGUAAGUCCGCUGUGAAAGCCCGGAGCUUAACUCCGGAGGGUCGGUGGAUACUGCCAGUCUUGAAGGUGCUAGGGGGAGAUGGAAUUACCGGUGUAGCGGUGAAAUGCGUUGAUAUCAUCAGGAACACCGGUGGCGAAAGCGGCUUACUGGGUCUCUUCUGACGCUGAGGAACGAAAGCUAGGGUAGCGAACGGG
rnacentral:rRNA from 1 species